rnacentral:rRNA from 1 species
CAACUGGAGAGUUUGAUCCUGGCUCAGAACGAACGUUAGCGGCGCGCCUAACACAUGCAAGUCGCACGAGAAAGGGCUUCGGCCCCGGUACAGUGGCGCACGGGUGAGUAACACGUGGGUAACGUUC